AAAAAAAGCAUUAAACGGAUACCUUGACAAAAGAUUCUAUUGGAUGUUGUACAACAAAAAUUUUAGCUGAGCUGUAAUGCUGGGACGCUGAAAUGUCCAAUAAAAGAAAUUUUUCUCUUGGAAGUUUUCAGAAAAGUGAAUUGAAACAUCUUAGUAACUUUUUAAGAAAUCAAACGAGAUACUGAAAGUAGUGGCGAACGAACUCAGUACAGGCAAAAAACAUAGAUAAAACACCAAUUGAACCUCGAGACCAGAGAAGGUUUAAGUCCUGUAGAUCGGCAAAAACUGUGUUUUUAAGUAAAAGAGGUUGUACUCUUUGAACAAUGGGGGACCACCCUCAAAGCCUAAAUUUUGGUCUUUUGAUCGAUAGUGAACGAGUACUGUGAAGGAAAGGACAUACAUCCUAGGAUGUUUUGAAAUUUAAUGCUAGCAAUCGGUUGGAGCUUUAUAAAGUGACAGCGUACCUUUUGCAUAAUGGGUCAGCGAGUUUUUAAAAAAGGCAAGCUUUUAACGAGGCGAAGAAAAUACGAAUUUUAAAAAAUAACCAGUCUUUUUUAAAAGACCCGAAACUGAGUGAUCUAACCUUGAACAGGCUGAAGACAGAGUGGUAACAUUCGUUGGAGGGCCGAACCCGUGUCUGUGGCAACAUACUGGGAUGAUUUGAGGUUAGGAGUGAAAGGCUAAUCAAACUCAGAGAUAGCUGGUUUUCUGCGAAAUCUAUUUAAGUAGAGCGAUCAAGUAAAACUUUUUGGGGUAGAGCACUUUUUAGAUGAUGGGGCAAUUUCGCUUACUGAUUUUAAGAAAACUCCGAAUACAAAAAGCUCUGAACUUGAUCAGACAGACCAUGGGUGCUAAGGUCCAUGGUCAAGAGGGAAACAGCCCAGAUUGAUCGCUAAGGUCCCAAAGAAAUCUUUCAGUUUAAGGAAGUAAGAUUACGAAGACAACUAGUAGGUCGGCUUGGAAGCAGCCAUCCUUGAAAGAAAUCGUAACAGAUCACUGGUCGAGUAAUUUUGCACCGAAAAUUUAUGGGCAUUAAAAGAUUCGCCGAAGCGGCAAACUUUUUUAAGUGGUAGCAGAACGUUCUGUGAAAUCAAUGAAGAAAAUUUGAGAAAAUUUUUCGAGAAAUCAGAAGUGAAAAUGCUGACAUGAGUAACAAAAAACAAUGUACAGAAUCAUUGUGGCUGUAAAUCCAAGGGUUUUGACGGAAGGAUUAUCCGCGUCAUGCCAUCUUUCGAUGGACAUAUUAGACGGUCCCUAAGAACGCUGAUGACAAUCAGGUUUGAUGGGUUAAACGUUUCGUUUCUUUAAAAAAAUGACAGAUUCUUAAGAUUAUUUUUAGUUUAUAGAGGAAACUAAAGGUGGUGGACGAAUUUCAGGAAAAAGUUUUUUUACUGCACAAACCGUACCUUAAACCAACACAGGUGGAUGGGUGGAAUACACUAAAGCCAAUGAGAGAAUGAUGUUGAAGGAACUCGGCAAAAUGAUUCCGUAACUUCGGAAGAAGGAAUAACCUUGCGAGGGCAACCUUGCAAGGUUGGCACAGAAUUGGGGGUAGCGACUGUUUAAUAAAAACACAGGUCUCUGCAAAUUUGUAAAAAGAUGUAUAGGGACUGACACCUGCCCGGUGCUGUAAGGUUAAACUAUGCUGUUUUGGCAGUGUACAUAAGCCUCAGUAAACGGCGGCUGUAACUCUGACGGUCCAAAGGUAGCGAAAUUCCUUGUCGGGUAAGUUCCGACCUGCACGAAUGGCGCAACGAUCUGGGCACUGUCUCAACGAGAGACUCGGUGAAAUUGUAGUAGCGGUGAAGAUGCCGUUUACCCGCAGCUAGACGGAAAGACCCCGUGAACCUUUACUGUACUCUGAUAUUGGCUUUUGACUUGUCACGUGUAGGAUAGCCGGGAGACUGUGAAAGAAACUCGUCAGGGUUUCUGGAGUCAUCCUUGAAAUACCGGUCGUGACAUGUUGGAAAUCUAACGAUGCCCCAUGAAUCUGGGGAUCGGACAUUGUCAGACGGGCAGUUUGACUGGGGCGGUAUCCUCCUAAAAUGUAACGGAGGAGUCCAAAGCUUGCCUCAUCGUGGUUGGCAAUCACGAAUAGAGCGUAAAAGUAUAAGGCAAGUUGACUGCGAGACCAACGAGUCGAGCAGGUACGAAAGUAGGGUUUAGUGAUCCGGCGGUGGAAAGUGGAAUCGCCGUCGCUUAACGGAUAAAAGGUACUCCGGGGAUAACAGGCUUAUCGCCACCAAGAGUUCAUAUCGACGUGGCGGUUUGGCACCUCGAUGUCGGCUCAUCGCAUCCUGGGGCUGAAGAAGGUCCCAAGGGUUUGGCUGUUCGCCAAUUAAAGCGGUACGCGAGCUGGGUUCAGAACGUCGUGAGACAGUUCGGUCCAUAUC
rnacentral:rRNA from 1 species